UACGUAGGUGGCAAGCGUUGUCCGGAUUUACUGGGCGUAAAGAGCGCGCAGGCGGUCGGUCAAGUCUGGUGUGAAAGCCCCCGGCUCAACUGGGGAGGGUCACGCGAUACUGAUCGACUCGAAGGCAGGAGAGGGUAGUGGAAUUCCCGGUGUAGUGGUGAAAUGCGUAGAUAUCGGGAGGAACACCAGUGGCGAAGGCGACUACCUGGCCUGUUCUUGACGCUGAGGCGCGAAAGCGAGGGGAGCAAACGGG
rnacentral:rRNA from 1 species